AUUGAACGCUGGCGGCAUGCUUUACACAUGCAAGUCGAACGGUAACAGGGUGCUUGCACCGCUGACGAGUGGCGAACGGGUGAGUAAUGCGUCGGAACGUGCCGAGUAGUGAGGGAUAACGCAGCGAAGGUUGUGCUAAUACCGCAUACGUACUGAGGUAGAAAGUGGGGGACCUUCGGGCCUCACGCUAUUCGAGCGGCCGACGUCUGAUUAGCUAGUAGGUGAGGUAAAGGCUCACCUAGGCGACGAUCAGUAGCGGGUCUGAGAGGAUGAUCCGCCACACUGGGACUGAGACACGGCCCAGACUCCUACGAGAGGCAGCAGUGGGGAAUUUUGGACAAUGGGCGAAAGCCUGAUCCAGCCAUGCCGCGUGUCUGAAGAAGGCCUUCGGGUUGUAAAGGACUUUUGUCAGGGAGGAAAUCCCUAGUGCUAAUAACACUGGGGGAUGACAGUACCUGAAGAAUAAGCACCGGCUAACUACGUGCCAGCCGCCGCCGUAA
rnacentral:rRNA from 1 species